rnacentral:rRNA from 1 species
GGUGAAUGCUGGCGGCGUGGAUAAGUCAUGCAAGUCAAGGGGGCCCGCAAGGGCAACCGGCAAACGAGGUAGUAACACGUAGGUAGACCCCCCAGAGUCGGGCAUAGCCAGCCGAAAGGUUGGGUAAUUCCCGAUAGUCCCGAAAGGGUAAGGUUUUUCGCUCUGGGAGUUGCCUACGUAGUAUCAGCUAGUUGGUAGGGUAAUGGCCUACCAAGGCUACGACGCUUAGGGGAGCUGAGAGGCUGACCCCCACCGAUGGAACUGCGACACGGUCCAUACUCCUACGGGAGGCUGCAGACGAGAAUAUUCCGUAAUGGGCAAAGCCUGACGGAGCGACGCCGCGUGAUUGAUGAAGUGCUUCGGUACGUAAAGAUCUUUUAUCGGGGACGAAGUUUAUUGACGGUACCCGAUGAAUAAGGGGCUCCUAACUCUGUGCCAGCAGCCGCGGUAAU